rnacentral:lncRNA from 1 species
UAAAGGUCUCUCUCUGUCUCUGGAAACCUCUUCCCCCGUACAGAAAAUACCAGACACUUCUCUUCGCUCCCUCUAUCCUCCUGAAAUAUCAGGAAGGGACGAGGGACAGUAACACAAUUACGAAAAUGCCCCGGUCUUCUCGCUAUAAAUACCUCAUCUUCCCUCCCAACGUACCAACACAGAAGAGCAAUUUGCCAAAGCAAUUCAAACCAGUUCAAUUAGCCAACAAUUCAAACACUCUUCACUCACAAUGUCUUUGAUUCCAAGCGUCUUCGGCGGCCGAAGGACUAACGUCUUCGACCCAUUCUCUCUCGACAUCUGGGAUCCAUUCCAGGACUUCCCGUUGAUUAGCGGCGGUAGCAACGCGGUCUCGUCAGGUCCGCGGUCGGAGCUGGCGAGCGAGACGGCGGCGGUGGCGAACACAAGGAUCGACUGGAAGGAGACGCCGGAGGCGCACGUGUUCAAGGCGGACCUUCCGGGGCUGAAGAAGGAGGAGGUGAAAGUGGAAGUUGAGGAAGGAAGGGUGCUGCAGAUCAGCGGCGAGAGGAGCAGAGAAAAGGAGGAGAAGAACGACAAGUGGCACAGGGUGGAGAGGAGCAGCGGCAAGUUCCUGAGGCGGUUCAGGCUGCCUGAGAACGCUAAGGUGGGGGAGGUGAAGGCUAGUUUGGAGAACGGGGUGCUGACUGUGACUGUGCCCAAAGAGGAGGUGAAGAAGCCUGAUGUUAAGGCCGUGGAGAUUUCUGGCUAAGAAGAAGACUAGACAGGGGCUUCUUUUGAGUAAAAGUAUUAUCGAGUGUGAAUUAAAAAUAAAAUAAAAUAAAAAAUAUGACAGGCUUGGCAUAUUGACGGGUGUGGUGUGUUUUUUUUCAGUUAAGAAGUUAAGAUUGAGAGUUUGAUGUAUUCUCUCAGCUGUGUAGUUGAGUUUUGGAUCAGUAAUAAUAAAUUAGUUUUUGGUUUUCUUUCUUCUUUUGUGUGAAAAGAUAGAAAUUUUAAUUGAUAAUAAUUGGAAUGGAAAACAUCACCGGCAAACAAAAUAGGAAUCAUUUUAUAGUGAUGUCCGAUCUCAUAAUUGUUGGAUUAUAUUAAUCAGUAUUCAUAGUGAUGACCUUUAGGUAUGUCCGAUUUCAUAAUUGUCGAAUUAUGUUAAUUAAUUUGAUCUAACAGCUAUUUAUUUUU